GUCAAACAAUCGCAUCUCAUCUAGACCAAACAAAAUAUAAAGCAAACAAUACUUCAACCUAUCAUGAAAGAAAUGAUCAUUCUGAUUCCAAUGAAAACCGAACAGGUUCUGUCAGUCCAACUUUCAAUAAGCGAUAACGAUGAUGACGGAAACCUUAAACACUCAUGGCCGAAAAUCGAAACGCUAAACACUCAACAAUCUAGAUUUGUUCCCACCCAGAAUACCCACUUAAAACAGUUACUAGGCAACCCCAUGUCGAUUAUCAAUCUAUCAACAUUCACGCCAAAUAAAAUCCAGAUUCCGGAAAAUAAAGAGUUGGAGACGAACCUGAACUGAAAAUUUUAAUAAUUUCAACCUUGAAUAUACAAGUAAAGGACUCUGGCAAUGGACUGGAAUCGAGCAAAUACAAUGACUGAACUUGGACAAGGAAUCAACGGCUUUAAGCCUCAAACGCCACAAGUGAGAGCUCGAACCAAUCUCAAACUCAAACAACUUCCAUUUUUUAGGCAAAGAUCUCGAAAUGCAACAAAAUAACCAGAAACUAUUUUUUAUUUUGAUUUUUUUUUGGGAAUAAAAGAAAAGCUCAAGAAAACUCUCUAAUUUCUCUUAAGAAUUAAACACUAAAAGAAGCACCCUAAAUUAUCCUAAUCUUCCCCCUCCCCUCGCCCCAGAAUCCUCACCUCCCAAAUCUCUUUAUAUCUCGAAAUUCUCUUGAACAAGGCACACACCUGAUGAAUGAAGGACUGGAAUCAAUCGAAAUUGAUCCCACAUUCUCCAUUAAUCCAGCACAUGCCUCCUAGAGGCUUCUUCACGUGAAAAAAAGAGGGUGAGAAUGAGAGAAUAUUCGAGUUCCUUAUUUGUCAGGCCACGUGGAAGGGGGUGAGAGAAUAGACCACUUGAUUGGUUUUGUUGG
rnacentral:lncRNA from 1 species